GGCUCUGUAGUGAAGUUCAUAGUGAGUUGCAAGCUCAUUGAUGUGCAUUGAAUAUGUACCGGAGUCU
rnacentral:tRNA from 1 species